rnacentral:rRNA from 1 species
UACGAAGGGUGCAAACGUUGCUCGGAAUCAUUGGGCGUAAAGCGCACGUAGGCGGCUUGCCAAGUCGGACGUGAAAUCCCUCAGCUCAACUGAGGACGUGCAUCCGAAACUGGCGAGCUUGAGUACUGAAGAGGAUCGCGGAAUUCCCGGUGUAGAGGUGAAAUUCGUAGAUAUCGGGAGGAACACCAGUGGCGAAGGCGGUUGCCUGGGGCUUUGCUGACGCUGAUGCGCGAAAGCGUGGGGAGCGAUCCGG